UGGCCAGGAUGUGGUUAUCUGAGUGAACGGCAGAUUUGAGCCACGAAAGUGGCCAAACUGAGGGCUACUGUGAAUCUCUGAGGCAAUCAAAAUCAGCCAAUAAGCGCAGAACCCACCAAGGUAGAGGAGGAACUUUAUCACAGUUGUUUCAAAGUUACGUCGCUGCUCAGU